rnacentral:rRNA from 1 species
GAUGAACGCUGGCGGCGUGCCUAAUACAUGCAAGUCGAGCGAACAGAUGAGGAGCUUGCUCCUCUGACGUUAGCGGCGGACGGGUGAGUAACACGUGGAUAACCUACCUAUAAGACUGGGAUAACUUCGGGAAACCGGAGCUAAUACCGGAUAAUAUAUUGAACCGCAUGGUUCAAUAGUGAAAGACGGUUUUGCUGUCACUUAUAGAUGGAUCCGCGCCGCAUUAGCUAGUUGGUAAGUUAACGGCUUACCAAGGCAACGAUGCGUAGCCGACCUGAGAGGGUGGUCGGCCACACUGGAACUGAGACACGGUCCAGACUCCUACGGGAGGCAGCAGUAGGGAAUCUUCCGCAAUGGGCGAAAGCCUGACGGAGCAACGCCGCGUGAGUGAUGAAGGUCUUCGGAUCGUAAAACUCUGUUAUUAGGGAAGAACAAAUGUGUAAGUAACUAUGCACGUCUUGACGGUACCUAAUCAGAAAGCCACGGCUAACUACGUG